rnacentral:rRNA from 2 species
AGGUGCGAUAAGACCAGCACUAAUGCACCGGAUCUCAUCAGAACUCCGUAGUGAAGCAUGCUUGGGCGAGAGUAGUACUAGGAUGGGUGACCUCUUGGGAAUUCCUUGUUUGCACCUC